AUGUCUCACAGUGUGUCCUAUGUUGCAGAGCCUGUGACCAGCCCCAAUGUCUUCCCACUGAGCCUCGGAAGCACUGACCCAGCCGGGCACGUGGUCAUCGCCUGCCUGGUCCAGGGCUUCUUCCCGCCAGAGCCCGUGAAUGUGACCUGGAGCUAUAGCGGGCAGGGUGCAUCAGUCAGGAACUUCCCCCCAGCGCGGGCCACCACCGGGAGCCGGUACACCAUGAGCAGCCAGCUGACCCUGCCAGCCGACCAGUGCCCGGAGGGCAAGUCUCUGAAAUGCCACGUGAGCCACUACUCCAGUGCCAGCAAGGCUGUGGACGUGCCCUGCAUAGGACAUAAAUGCCCUGACUCUGAGUGUAACUGCUCUUGUGAGUGUCCGUCGUGCGGCCAGCCCCACCUGUCACUGCACCAGCCAGCCCUUGAGGACCUGCUCCUGGGCUCCAAUGCCAGCCUCACAUGCACACUGAGUGGCCUGAAGGACCCCAAGGGUGCCACCUUCACCUGGAAGCCCACAGGUGGGAAGGAUGCUGUCCAGGGGACGCCCCAGCGUGACCCCUGUGGCUGCUACAGCAUGUCGAGUGUCCUGCCGGGCUGCGCUGAGCCAUGGAAGAAUGGGGAGAGCUUCUCCUGCACCGCCACGCACCCUGAGUCCAAGAGCCCGCAAACUGCCACCAUCACCAAAGCCUCAGGGAACACCUUCCGGCCCCAGGUCCACCUGCUACCGCCGCCGUCGGAGGAGCUGGCCCUCAACGAGCUGGUGACACUGACGUGCAUGGUGCGGGGCUUCAGCCCAGAGCACGUGCUGGUGAGGUGGCUGCAUGGGACCCAGGAGCUGCCCGUGAACAAGUACCUGACCUGGAGGCCCAUGCAGGAGCCUGGCCAGGGCGUCGCCACCUUUGCCGUGACCAGCAUGUUGCGUGUGGCAGCCGAGGACUGGAAGCAGGGGGAUAAGUUCUCCUGCAUGGUGGGCCACGAAGCCCUGCCCAUGGCCCUCACCCAGAAGACCAUCGACCGCCUGGCGGGUAAACCCACCCACGUGAAUGUGUCCGUGGUCUUGUCAGAGGUGGAAGGCAUCUGCUAUUAA